GGAUUGAACGCUGGCGGCAUGCCUUACACAUGCAAGUCGAACGGCAGCGCGGGGCAACCUGGCGGCGAGUGGCGAACGGGUGAGUGAUAUAUCGGAACGUACCCUGGAGUGGGGGAUAACGUAGCGAAAGUUACGCUAAUACCGCAUACGAUCUAAGGAUGAAAGCAGGGGACCGCAAGGCCUUGUGCUCCUGGAGCGGCCGAUAUCUGAUUAGCUAGUUGGUGGGGUAAAGGCCUACCAAGGCAUCGAUCAGUAGCUGGUCUGAGAGGACGACCAGCCACACUGGAACUGAGACACGGUCCAGACUCCUACGGAGGCAGCAGUGGGAAUUUGGACAAUGGGCGCAAGCCUGAUCCAGCAAUGCCGCGUGAGUGAAGAAGGCCUUGGGUGUAA
rnacentral:rRNA from 1 species